GACAGAGGGUGCAAACGUUGCUCGGAAUUACUGGGCGUAAAGCGCGUGUAGGCGGAUCGGAAAGUCGGGCGUGAAAUCCCCAGGCUCAACCUGGGAACUGCACUCGAAACUCCCGGUCUUGAGUGGUGGAGAGGGAAGUGGAAUUCCUGGUGUAGAGGUGAAAUUCGUAGAUAUCAGGAGGAACACCAGUGGCGAAGGCGGCUUCCUGGGCACCAACUGACGCUGAGACGCGAAAGCGUGGGGAGCAAACAGG
rnacentral:rRNA from 1 species